UUGUGACAGCUGAUACUACCCUGUCUUCCUGAAUAAGGUGAGCCACGACCUUGUUGCGUACAAUCGCUUCCGGCCAAUCAGCGCGGCCCGUUCAUAAUUCUAUUUAUUUUAUUAACCAAUCAACUUAACCUCUUAUGGUCCCGUGGGUUACAAGCUGAAGUUAAAAUAGCUUCGAGUGUAAACAGUUAACCUUAAAGAUCCAAUUGUGUAUUACCAGAAAUGACGGUUUCUGGAACAGAAACACUUUUUUUACACCGAAUAUAUAUUUAACAUUAGAAUUAGAAAGCACCAAGGAUGACUGCUCUUUAUAUUACUUCAUAGAAAUAACAAGUAAUUGAUCCAGACAAUUUUUAUUCUGCAUAAAGAACCGCAGUCUAGUUAUAACUCUCUCGAUGCUAUUCACAUACCACCGCGUGCAUACCAGUGAACUGUAAAGAAUUAACGCAUUAACGUAUCUUUAAACGCUGAAAUAAAUCACGGAAGCUUUAUCGUCACGGUGACGAUUAAUCUUUCCAGCGGAAACUCGAUAUACAAUGUGUCUACGGUUAUCACCGAACCAUGAAGGAACUGUUCCAUGUUAGAUUUCUUACAGCAGUCGCGAUUUGGACGCAGCAUUCAUGUAUAUUCAUGGCGCGCAGGACAGGUCGACUAAUGUAUGCAACGUGAAUGACAGUUAAUAGUUUACUACCUUCGUGGAUUAAGUGGUUAAUGUGUUGAUCUGUCGAGCACUAUUAUUCUAAUUAACGCAUCUCGCAUACAAUUGGACCGAUUCGGAUUCUACAAGUCUCUAUCUGUGCAUCUGCGUACUUUCAAUAAUUCAUCAUAUCCGGUAAUGAAAAUUUUCAAACUUAACACAAUUUACUCACAAUCAACACAUAGAGACUGUAAAGUUUGGUCAAAAUAUGCUCAAGGUUUAAAACUCGCAUUUAAAAUAAUGUAAAAGUGUCUAACUCGCAAAACACGACUCAAUCAGAUACCAAGCUUAAUUUUGCUAAAGGGGACUACGGAUGUGUGGGUUAGCGUAAUCUAUGUAUACAUAGUUAGAAAUAUCGACGUUCUUGACUUGGCGUUUGACAUAAGUAAACCGAACAAAGUUAGAUGGUUGGCGCUUUAGGCGAUAGAGUGUAUACAUGCGCGUUAGAUCAUCCCCUCCGCAUGCAACAUGACUGAUAGAUAAAGAAACGAAACGUACCAUACUGUGUCGUGCUCUCCACAAUUAUUCACAACUCUUAUCAAUUUAAUCAAUAGUUUUCCUUAAAAAAAAAAUGUUUUAUGCCAAUUUUACAAAGUGUAGUAUUUUCGAUCGCCGUGUAUUCUGCUACACAUAACACUCGGAAGUUGUUCACGGUUUCCAAAGAUUUCUACGCUGACGUCACGUACAGUCUCAUAUACACCAACACGAAUAAUAUGGAUCACACCCACCUGCGUGGUAUACUAGCGCACUUAUAUAUGUACAUAUUACGCCAACGUAGGGAUUUUGUGACAUUUCUACUUGGUUGCAUUAAUGGUGCACAACAAUACGGUGUUCUUUUUCUAGAAAACCACUGGCCGUAAAAGCAAGUAUCAUUGGAAUAUUAUCUAAAAUUUUACAAGUUGAACAAUCUUUCUUGGAAAUAAUGUACUAAAAGUAUGAGAGUUUUUACAACAAAUAAUGAAAUCUCAUGGUAAUCUCACUUUUAAUUUUUCGUAAUUUUUAUAAAAAAAACCAGCUAACAUGUUUGGCUAUUCACAGUAUGUCAAACCCUCAAAAUAACAAAUCCCCUGACAUCAGAUUACAAUUAGACGCAAAAUGUUCCCGAAGGAGUUUUUCAUUUUCAGCGGUCGGCGUGAUCAGUUUAAAAUUGCCGCUUUGAUUCGUGCGCCGACCGAAGAGACACACGGUUCCGAGACCUCAUUAUGCAACGAACAAUUAUGAAAAUUUAAUUACGCUUCACCUUGAGCACGCGUGCAGGAAUAUAAUGUCCGAAGGCUGCUCCAUUGUCGCCGGACCGCGAGCGUCACGAGCGACCGCUUCACGCCGGCAAAACAAACGUUUCAUAAUCCAGUGGAUUCCGUCGCGUGUAAACCAAUCGUUUUGCGCAAGCAAUAUGUACGGUCGUCUUCGGAGAAUAGAGAAUCGCGUAGUUCUCGCUUCUCCACGAAAGUUUUCUUGCUUGCUCGCUGAUUUCAUCGGUCUCGGUUUCCAAGCGUUCGUAAAACGCUCAACGUUUUGUUUCCUUGCAUCUCCAUUCGACAACGAAAACAUCGGCCGACAAAUGUGUUCCGAAUUGUCAGUAUAUAAAAAUUAUAUUAAAAAAUAAAUGAUUCGUCAAUAGCACAUUGAACCUAAUAAAUAAAAGAUGUGUGAAGUAAAGUGUUUAUUCCUAAUAGUGUGUCGUUAAGAUUUUCAUUUCCCAAAAUGGCAGCAAGAGAGAGAGAGAGGAGUAAAAUUUUUCUACGUGCCAACGCUCCAAGGUGAAUUUAUAACGUGUCACUACGUCUGACAUAAUUCUUUGUCAGUUCUGAGGCGUCUCUUCGUCGUCCUUGACAAACGAAUACCCUCGCUCCACAAGCACGAGUGCGCAAUCAAAGAUGACGAUAUUAUUUCUGACUCGUUGAUAUUUGCCAAUUUGGUAAAUACCGGUGUGUGUGGCCUGUCCAAAAACCUCUCGAGCAUUCGUAAAAAUUUCGAUAGCCGUGCAAUGUUCGAAAACUACGGCACUCAUUUUAUACUUUACUCGAUAAUUGUACUUAAGAUUAAAUUCUGUAAGAAAAAAUUUGAAAGAAAAAGAAGAGAGAAGGAGAAGAAGUAGAAGUUCGAAGAAUGCCACUAGUCGUCGGCAAAUAGUAUACGUUAAAGUACCAGAGGUAUAUGAAUCGGCAAGUCGACCUCAUUUAUUUGUGGAUAAGGGCAAAGUGUGCGCAGCAGCAUGACUCUCCCUGGUGCAUCCCCACCAGCGAUCCACCGGGUGAUUCCCCCAGAGGUAAUACGUCCCUGGGAAGCACGGUAUGCGCCAUCGAGUGUACGCUUAUUUUAACAAACCUAUUUCUGAUAUUGUGCCACCGCGAAAGAGACGGGUGCCUGUAUCGAGAUUAGAAGGCUUUCAACGAAACCGAUUUACUCGCCGCGCGGAGACGCAAUAACGCGAACCGCGCGUGCAUAUGGCCAGAAAUCGACUGCGUUGUGUACGGUUAAGGCGUUAGUUCCGAAACGCCACACGCUAUGCAACUGAAUAUUCAACGAUUAAGCUCGAAAAACAAUUUCCUCUAAAGUUCUAUUCGGAAAAAAUCAUCAAAGUUAUACAUUACAUUAUUGCCAGCUUAGUGAGCUCGGAAACUUGUUACACGCCGAUAAGAGUAUACGAAUGCUUUAAAGAAUUCACGAUUUAACAAUAUAUUUUCUCGCUUUUCCAUUUCCUAUCGACAGUAUGCGCAUAAACAGGCUAGGUGUGACAUAUGUACUCCUGAUUUGUGAUAGCAAAAUAUGAAUGUAUUUUUAUCAUUGGUUCGUAGAUAUUUAAAAGACUUUUAGUUAUUGCACAUAGAGGUGUUAAUACGUCGAACAUAACACGUCGUCCUGCGACCCUACAGGCGAUCGAAGAUUACAGUGGUCGUGACUUUCUGCUUGUUUUCGUGUCUCCGUCUAUGCGAGUCUUCCCUCUCUCCGUCUUGGUUCUCUUUCUCUCACGGUUAACCGGGAUCGGAUCGAGAAACGAGCAAGACGGAGUGACACAUCUUUAGAACAAUCACCCGUUGUGAAAGCGCCUUACCGGUUAGAAUAUCUACUACCGCAACGUAAUAUAACGAGCAAGUGGUGAGUCGAGAAAUCGAGAACCAUACCGUUCCUUUACUUCCAACACAUCUCACAGAUUUCGAAUAUUUCUUAUGCAGUCUCUUUUGUACCCAAUACUCGCUCUAACGAUCAUAUUCGAAAGGAUGACUUGAUAAACACCGUUUUCACGAUCCAAUAAAACAUUUCACUCGUUCCUUUAUCGUUGUACAAUUAUCAUAGCUUGAUUCGAUUAAUCGAAGAAUAUCAAUCACAAAACGUAGAGAUCGAAAUAUUUUCAAAUACAUCGUCGUCGGUAGGUUUGAAAGCAACGUGACACUCAUUAAUGCAACGAGUUUUCGAUAACCACUUGUGUAAAUUCGAUUAUUUUUUAAACACACUUCCACUUACCUAAAGGACGACACGAAAGCUCAUUAUCCUCGAUAGAUACACCUCGUCCACGGUAUAAUCCAAUCCUCCUCGUGCAAACGCAAUAGAAUUGAUAAAAGAAAACACUAGAAUCACACUACUAACGAGCACACUUCCCCGCGUCCACGGAAUCUGUCUACGUUAAUCGUCAUCGUCCGUCACGACGACGAGCACGAACACCACGCUGCUUAGCACUGCAACGCCUUCGUCUAUUCAUCACCUCGUCAUAACAACGACAAAACGAGUGAGAACGCUCCACGGGCUCGACUGAACGUGUGGAACCCACCGGAGAGUGUUGCACGCGCGUGCGACUCGGAUGCGCCGUGAGAGAGGGUAGAACUCCUUUGCUCGUGGCGGACACCGGUGUUGUGUCCUUGCGACAGCAACAACUUUAUCGAAUGCUAACGUAUCUUCAACUGUUCUCAAUGGGAAUGAUCGUAACUGGCUAAACGAAUGUCAAAAACCAUUAACACAAAACCUAUAGUAUAUCGUACGCAUAA